rnacentral:rRNA from 1 species
UACAGGGGGGGCAAGCGUUGUUCGGAAUUACUGGGCGUAAAGGGCUCGUAGGUGGCCAACUAAGUCAUACGUGAAAUCCCUCGGCUUAACCGGGGAACUGCGCCUGAUACUGGUUGGCUUGAGUUUGGGAGAGGGACGCGGAAUUCCAGGUGUAGCGGUGAAAUGCGUAGAUAUCUGGAGGAACACCGGUGGCGAAGGCGGCAUCCUGGACCGGUAUUGACGCUGAGGCGCGAAAGCCAGGGGAGCAAACGGG